UGUCACUUUAAAGUUUACUUCCGUUGCACUGACCUUGCUAGUGAAAAUGUUUGGAGUCACACGACCAGCGUUGAGUCUUUUAAGACCUGUUGCACAACAAACAAACCUUCUUCAAAAGGCCAACUUUACUUAUGGGGUACCCAAAGUACGAAUGAAUAAACACAUGAAGUAUGCUCACGGUGUUCUUUUGACGGCGAUAGUGCUUGGGCCAAUGCUCUGGAUGUGUGCAAACUUCGAGAAUUACAGGAACCCCAAGAAAUAGAGGCUCUUUGGCAGUGUGAAUUUAUGGCAACUUUCAACAUGUUUUUGACUAACUUUUGUAAAAUUUGAUUAUUAUAUCAACAAGAAAUGCUGGGCAGUUUACAUCAGUGCUGGAACUAUGUGGCUUUAUAACUUCAGGACAUAAUUUUUUACCAUAUUUACAAUAUCUGAGUUAUUAACAACUUUACAUACAGUAAAAGUUUUAUUAGUUUACAUGGAGUGUUUUGUAUUAAUCAAUAAUCAUGUUGGUAAUAUUUAUGUAUAGAAAUGUUUUAAGAAAUAACGGAUUUGAUAAAUUGGAAAAUGUU